rnacentral:rRNA from 1 species
UACAGAGGUCCCGAGCGUUGUUCGGAUUCACUGGGCGUAAAGGGUGCGUAGGUGGCUGGGAAAGUUUGAUGUGAAAGCUCAGGGCUUAACCCUGAAAUGGCAUUGAAUACUGCCUGGCUGGAGGUUUGGAGGGGGGACUGGAAUUCUUGGUGUAGCAGUGAAAUGCGUAGAUAUUAAGAGGAACACCAGUGGCGAAGGCGAGUCCCUGGACAACACCUGACACUGAGGCACGAAAGCCGGGGGAGCAAACAGG